rnacentral:rRNA from 1 species
CAGCAGCCACGGUAAUACGGAGGGUGCAAGCGUUAUCCGGAUUUAUUGGGUUUAAAGGGUCCGUAGGCGGAUCUGUAAGUCAGUGGUGAAAUCUCACAGCUUAACUGUGAAACUGCCAUUGAUACUGCAGGUCUUGAGUAAAUUUGAAGUGGCUGGAAUAAGUAGUGUAGCGGUGAAAUGCAUAGAUAUUACUUAGAACACCAAUUGCGAAGGCAGGUCACUAAGAUUUAACUGACGCUGAUGGACGAAAGCGUGGGGAGCGAACAGGAUUAGAUACCCCCGCAGUCCCUGUCUCUUAUAC